rnacentral:rRNA from 1 species
GACGGAGGAUGCAAGUGUUAUCCGGAAUCACUGGGCGUAAAGCGUCUGUAGGUGGUUUAAUAAGUCAACUGUUAAAUCUUGAGGCUCAACUUCAAAAUCGCAGUCGAAACUAUUAGACUAGAGUAUAGUAGGGGUAAAGGGAAUUUCCAGUGGAGCGGUGAAAUGCGUAGAGAUUGGAAAGAACACCGAUGGCGAAGGCACUUUACUGGGCUAUUACUAACACUCAGAGACGAAAGCUAGGGUAGCAAAUGGGAUUAGAUACCCCAGUAGUCUUAGCUGUAAACGAUGGAUACUAGAUGUUGGACAGUCGCUGCAGUGUCAAAGCUAACGCGUUAAGUAUCCCGCCUGGGAAGUAUGCUCGCAAGAGUG